UAUUUGUAGAAAUGAUUUAUUGCCGGGGGAUAAAAGAGGGCCGCAUAUAUUAAUGGAAAAUUCUUUUUCUUUCUUAGAUGCAAAACAGUUUUGGAAUGAACAUCGCCAGUGCUACAAUUGCCUUCGUUGGGAUCGUUUUUCUCUUAAUACAUCUAGUACUAAAUAACCAGGCCUUCAGGAGUUGUCCGUCUUCCCGGUCUCCAGAUUUAUGCAAUUACCUGGGUUCCUCAUCAAAUGUAGGCAAUUAAAACUAUGUCUAAUCAUAGAAAAUAAUUUAAACAUUUCAAAAUGUACAGAAAACAAUAUGUCAUAUGUUAUGCUACCUGGAUUUAAAUUUGUCUUUGCUGCCUAUUAGUGCUGUAAUGAAGGGAAAACUAAAUAAGGUUGGUAUUUUAAUUUUCUCACUCUUAAAAUGAGGAAAAUAAUAGUAACCAUAGGGUUAGUGUAAGAAUGAAAUGAUACUUGAAAAGCAAUGAAGGCAAUACUUAGCACAUCAUGUUAUAUUCUUAUUGACAUUACAAUUAAUUCUAUUAUGCUAUUUUUUUUUAAAAAAACUUUAUCUCAUGUAUCUUUGCUUAAUAAAGCAAACUUGAGAGACAUACAACUUUCUCUGAAGUCUGAAAAGUUUUGAUUGACUUCACUUCUGAGUUUCCAAGUUAUGAUCUUUUGAAAAAGAAGCUCUUUAAUAGGCUGUCACAUGAUUUUUUGGUCUGUGUUUUAGGUAUUAUACCUCUUUGAAGUCAACUUAGAAAUUAAUAUUGUCCUUCAAGUGUGUUGAGUGCAGCCCAGUGAUUGCCAAAUUAUUAUUUAUCCAUCCCUGAUCCUCCUGUUUUCUGGCAUCAUCAUGGAAAUCUGAGUCUGCCUUUUCUUUAUUAAAUUUUUAAUUAUCUAAGUUUAUAUUUACCUGAGUUUGACUUUUUUUGUGUGGAUUUAGUGGCAUUUUCCCUCCAGAAAAGUUUGUAAUUGUAUUUCUUCUAAGUGCCUCAGUGAUAUAGAAAGAUCACUAGUAAACCAACAGUGUUUACUUUGUGUUUAUACCAGCUUUUUGCUUUAGUUUCUAAGGAUAACGUAAAUGCCCAAACAGCUAUGAGGUGCUAUUGAUAAAACAGAGAAGGGAUCACUUUUCUCCAUUUUCUUAAAUUACCUACUCAUUUCCUUAGUUUAGUUCUUUUCUAACUGAGCAAUGUUAGCAAUAGUGUUAGAAUUUUGCCUCUGUGAUCCCUCUCCCAUGACUAGUUCACUUGAAUUUAUGUACAAAUCGUACACCUUUCUCUCUCCAGGGAAAAUGUUCCCUUGCUGCUGAAUUAAGAGUGCAGCCCUUCUACAGAGUUUGUGUCUUAAAUCUAAUUUGGGAUUAAUUUUGUUGCAUUUUGUGGGAGGGAGACUCUGUGGUCUGGUUUCCUGCUGACAGAUUUUUCCUGAGGAUGUUUCCAUUGUGUUUGAUGUGAGAUACCAUCUCCCCUAGGGCUUGGUGUCUCUAAUGCUCAUCUUCACUUUGCUGGAAUUGUGCAUAACUAUCUCCCUCUCAGCCAUGUGGUGCAAAGGAAACUGCUGUGAUUCAAGAGAGGUGGGUUUGUUUAAAUGAGGAAUAAAUUGCCUGGUCUGCAGAUUGCUAUCUGGGGUUGAAGUUAUUUCUGGAAGAAUUGGAAAGAAACUUUGAUGUGGCAAUGUUUCUUGGGGUUCCUGGAGUUAGACAUUGCAUCAAUGUUAGAGAUGGAAUGAAAUACAGAAAAGAACUCAAAUGUGAAAAUGCAAAAGGAAACUACGUAUUUAAUACAUGAGAGGAUGCUUUUUUAUGCACCUGGAAUUAAUUUUAAUUAUUUCAUUUUAACUUGUGACUUUCUAGCUAUAUGAUUUUUGUAGGAAAAAAUCACAUAUUUUCCCUAGAUUUUAGGUAUCCUGACUUUAAAAUAAAAAUAUAUAUAUAUUUUUUCAUUUUCUUCUGAUGUUUGUUCUGAAGACUGUGCACAUCACCUUUAUUCAAGUAGUAAUAAGUUGGAUGAAUAUUAUUAGUGAUGGUUUAAUGGUAACAGGAAGAGAUGGGAGGAGGAGAUGGUGAUCCUAUUCUUAGAGACAAAUGUUUUGUUUUGCAGGAAAUUUCUUCACUUCCCAGUUCUAUGGAAUCAGGAAUACCUCCUAAUGAAGGUAAUUCGGAGAGCAUCAAAACUUAACCUCAAAUCUCCAAGGAAUCAGAGCUUCAUUCAGGAACUCAGGAAAACAUGAGCUGAUGAAACUCAAUCCUUCUCUCAUGGCACCAAUCAUGGAAACUUGGACUUAGGCUUUUCUGUCCUAAUCAUAAAUGCCUUUAGUGUGUUCUGGGUAUGGAUGAAUCAAUGUAUUUCUUUAUGAAUUCUUGGAUUUGUAACUUCUACUAUCACUACUCCAAAGUCAUUCCUUAAAAAUUAUUUCUCUUUCUUCUUCCUAUUUCAUCGUUUUAUGAGAUUUAAGGAAAGGAGCUAUUAUAAGCACUAUUUCAUGUUUUCUUCCUAAAAUCUCAUUUCAGACAACCUAGUAAGAAGGAAGAUGAGUCAGAUUUAUUUUUGCAGCACAGAAAUAUUCUUCUUGACUUUAGCCAACAGCAGCAUUACAAAAAUUGUCAAAUAAAAAAUGACCAUCACCACAUAUGUGAACUAUGACUUUGUUUUUCAUAAAAUAUGUGAAUUUAAAUUAUGAGUAGAAAUCGUAGCUAUUAGGAGGCCAUGAGAUAAGAUAGCCUAAGAAUUUAGCUGAAGGCCACACAGGAGAAAUUCAGAAAACGGAAGUCAGUUUAACCACACCUGAAAUUGAAUUUACACUUCUGACUCAACAAGACAUGAAUUUUGUUUUUAUUGUACAAAUGAUGCUUGUAGCAAAUAAUUUCUCUCCUGGCUUGGCUUUGCUUCAUUCACUUCUAUUGCUUUUAAAAAUAUUCCCAGUAAGGGCUUUCUCCAAAAAGAAUCUAAUGGAAAAUCCUAAUGAACGGUCUCCACUCAAUUCUUAUGGUACAUGAACAAUUUGAGAAGAUGUUGAAGUUUGUAACUUGUAAGACACUGAUAUUUAUGGACUUUGUCCUAUCUUCUUGUCUCAGAGUUUACCAGCAAGCUGGGAAAUCCAAGAAAUGAUGGUUGAUUUAUUGAUCCAUCCAUUCAAUGAAUAAUGAGUUUCACAUAUUUGGC
rnacentral:lncRNA from 1 species